AGUCGAGGGAGAACCAUUCGAUCCGUAAGGACCGAAUGGGGAAACCGGCGAACGGGUGCGUAACACGUGAGGAACCUGCCCCGAAGACCGGGAUAGCCCGAGGAAACUCGGAUUAAUACCGGAUACCCUCUUUGGACCACAUGGUCCGCUGAGGAAACGGUCCGCCGCUUCGGGAUGGCCUCGCGGCCUAUCAGCUUGUUGGUGAGGUAACGGCUCACCAAGGCAAAGACGGGUAGCUGGUCUGAGAGGACGAUCAGCCACACUGGGACUGAGACACGGCCCAGACUCCUACGGGAGGCAGCAGCAGGGAAUAUUGCACAAUGGGCGAAAGCCUGAUGCAGCGACACCGCGUGCGGGAUGAAGGCCCUCGGGUUGUAAACCGCUUUCAGGAGGGACGAAAAUGACGGUACCUCCAGAAGAAGGCCCGGCCAACUACGUGCCAGCAGCCGCGGUAAUACGUAGGGGCCAAACGUUGUCCGGAUUUAUUGGGCGUAAAGGGCUCGUAGGCGGUUCAACAAGUCGAUCGUGAAAGCCCGGGGCUCAACCCCGGGACGCCGGUCGAAACUGUUGUGACUAGGGUCCGGUAGAGGUGAGUGGAAUUCUCGGUGUAGCGGU
rnacentral:rRNA from 1 species